rnacentral:rRNA from 1 species
UCGGGAAUUUUGGGCAAUGGGCGAAAGCCUGACCCAGCAACGCCGCGUGAGGGAUGAAGUAUUUCGGUAUGUAAACCUCGAAGGAAUGGGAAGAAUAAAUGACGGUACCAUUUAUAAGCUCCGGCUAACUACGUGCCAGCAGCCGCGGUAAUACGUAGGGAGCGAGCGUUGUUCGGAUUUACUGGGCGUAAAGGGCGCGUAGGCGGCGCGGUAAGUCACUUGUGAAAUCUCUGAGCUUAACUCAGAACGGCCAAGUGAUACUGCUGUGCUUGAGUGCGGAAGAGGCAACCGGAAUUCUUGGUGUAGCGGUGAAAUGCGUAGAUAUCAAGAGGAACACCUGAGGCGAAGGCGGGUUGCUGGGCCGACACUGACGCUGAUGCGCGAAAGCCAGGGGAGCAAACG